CAUUUAAAAGCUUCUUCCGCCGUCGGAAAACAGAUGAGGAGGAUGACAAAGAGAAAGAGCGAGAGAAAGGGAAACUGGUGGGCCUGGAUGGCACAGUCAUUCACAUGCUGCCUCCUCCUCCAGUUCAGCGCCAUCACUGGUUCACAGAGGCAAAAGGAGAGUCCAGUGAGAAACCAGCCAUUGUCUUCAUGUACAGGUGCGACCCUGCUCAAGGCCAGCUCAGUGUGGAUCAGAGCAAGGCUAGGACAGACCAGGCAGCAGUCAUGGAGAAGGGUAGAGCAGAGAAUGCAUUACUACAGGACUCAGAGAAGAAGAAGAGUCAUUCUUCUCCAUCACAGAUUCCUAAAAAGAUUCUCAGAUGAGGAAACUGAAAACCCGGGAAGUUAAGAAUUGAACAGAGUCACAAAGCUAGUGCUUGUCAGAGCUGGAAUUCAAACCUCGAUCUCUCAUUCUAAAGCAUGUAUCAUCCUUAUAAUUUUGCAUUCUUAAACACAAGAUCAAUAAAAAUUGUUAUAUUCUCACUUGU
rnacentral:sRNA from 1 species